AAAUGGUUGCGGUGGCGCUGAUUGUGAUGACGAUGAUGAUGAUGAUGAUCGUUAUCAUCAUCAUCAUCAUCAUCACCACCAUCAACGUCAUCAUCA
rnacentral:pre_miRNA from 1 species